rnacentral:rRNA from 1 species
ACGAUGAUGCCCAGCUUGCUGGGUGGAUUAGUGGCGAACGGGUGAGUAACACGUGAGUAACCUGCCCCUGACUCUGGGAUAAGCGUUGGAAACGACGUCUAAUACUGGAUAUGACUGCCGGCCGCAUGGUCUGGUGGUGGAAAGAUUUUUUGGUUGGGGAUGGACUCGCGGCCUAUCAGCUUGUUGGUGAGGUAAUGGCUCACCAAGGCGACGACGGGUAGCCGGCCUGAGAGGGUGACCGGCCACACUGGGACUGAGACACGGCCCAGACUCCUACGGGAGGCAGCAGUGGGGAAUAUUGCACAAUGGGCGAAAGCCUGAUGCAGCAACGCCGCGUGAGGGAUGACGGCCUUCGGGUUGUAAACCUCUUUUAGUAGGGAAGAAGCGUAAGUGACCGUACCUGCAGAAAAAGCACCGGCUAACUACGUGCCAGCAGCCGCGGUAAUACGUAGGGUGCAAGCGUUGUCCGGAAUUAUUGGGCGUAAAGAGCUCGUAGGCGGUUUGUCGCGUCUGCUGUGAAAUCCCGAGGCUCAACCUCGGGCUUGCAGUGGGUACGGGCAGACUAGAGUGCGGUUAGGGGAGAUUGGGAAUUCCUGGUGUAGCGGGUGGAAUGCGCAGAUAUCAGGAGGAACACCGAUGGCGAAGGCAGAUCUCUGGGCCGUAACUGACGCUGAGGAGCGAAAGCGUGGGGAGCGAACAGGAUUAGAUACCCUGGUAGUCCACGCCGUAAACGUUGGGCGCUAGAUGUAGGGACCUUUCCACGGUUUCUGUGUCGUAGCUAACGCAUUAAGCGCCCCGCCUGGGGGAGUACGGCCGCAAGGCUAAAACUCAAAGGAAUUGACGGGGGCCCGCACAAGCGGCGGAGCAUGCGGAUUAAUUCGAUGCAACGCGAAGAACCUUACCAAGGCUUGACAUACACCGGAAACGGCCAGAGAUGGUUGCCCCCUUGUGGUCGGUGUACAGGUGGUGCAUGGUUGUCGUCAGCUCCUGUCGUGAGAUGUUGGGUUAAAUCCCGCAACCAGCGCAACCCUCGUUCUAUGUUGCCAGCGCGUUAUGGCGGGGACUCAUAGGAGACUGCCGGGGUCAACUCGGAGGAAGGUGGGGAUGACGUCAAAUCAUCAUGCCCCUUAUGUCUUGGGCUUCACGCAUGCUACAAUGGCCGGUACAAAGGGCUGCGAUACCGUAAGGUGGAGCGAAUCCCAAAAAGCCGGUCUCAGUUCGGAUUGAGGUCUGCAACUCGACCUCAUGAAGUCGGAGUCGCUAGUAAUCGCAGAUCAGCAACGCUGCGGUGAAUACGUUCCCGGGCCUUGUACACACCGCCCGUCAAGUCAUGAAAGUCGGUAACACCCGGAAGCCGGUGGCCUAACCCUUGUGGAAGGAGCCGUCGAA